CAGUGCUUCUGCAGUGCAGGC
rnacentral:miRNA from 14 species